rnacentral:rRNA from 1 species
GUCUAUGGAUAUAGGACCCUGAACUCACCCAGUCUCCUCUGAUCUUGGUAGCUAAUCAGGGUCAGACCCAGACAGUACUUGCAUAGGAAGAUCAUAGAAGGUGAGACCAUGACA